rnacentral:rRNA from 1 species
GACGAACGCUGGCGGCGUGCUUAACAUAUGCAAGUCCAACGGAAAGUCCCUGCUUUUUUCGGGUGCUCGAGUGGCGAACGGGUGAGUCACACGUGAGUAACCUGCCCUUGACUUUUGGAUAACUCCAGGAAACUGGGGCUACUACCUGGUAGGAGCUCCUGCUGCAUGGUGGGGGUUGGAAAGUUUCGGCGGCAGGUGAUGGACUCGCGGCUUAGCAGCGUGUUGGUGGGGUAGUGGCUUACCAAGCCUUGGACGGGUAGACGGCCUGAGAGGGAGACCGGCCACAUUGGGUAGGAGAUACGGCUGAGAGUACUACGGGAGGCAGCAGUGAGGAAUAUUGAACAACGGGCGGAAGAAUGAUGCAGCAACGCCGCGUGCGAGAUGACGGCCGUCGGGCUGUAAACCGCUUUCGAGUGCGACGAAGGGUGAGUGAGGGUAAUGAGUAAAGAAGCACAGGCUAACUACG